UACAGAGGUCCCGAGCGUUGUUCGGAUUCACUGGGCGUAAAGGGUGCGUAGGUGGUGAGGAAAGUCGGAUGUGAAAUCUCCGGGCUCAACCCGGAAAUGGCAUUGGAAACUGCCUUGCUUGAGGAUUUGAGGGGGGAUUGGAAUACUUGGUGUAGCAGUGAAAUGCGUAGAUAUCAAGUGGAACACCAGUGGCGAAGGCGAAUCCCUGGAAAAUACCUGACACUGAGGCACGAAAGCUAGGGGAGCAAACAGGAUUAGAAACCCGGUAGUCC
rnacentral:rRNA from 1 species